rnacentral:rRNA from 1 species
UACGUAGGGGGCUAGCGUUAUCCGGAAUUACUGGGCGUAAAGGGUGCGUAGGUGGUCUUGUAAGCGUGGGGUGAAAGGCAGUGGCUUAACCAUUGUUAGCCUUGCGAACUGUGAGACUUGAGUGCAGGAGAGGAGAGUGGAAUUCCUAGUGUAGCGGUGAAAUGCGUAGAUAUUAGGAGGAACACCAGUUGCGAAGGCGGCUCUCUGGACUGUAACUGACACUGAGGCACGAAAGCGUGGGGAGCAAACAGGAUUAGAUACCCUGGUA